UUGGGCCGGGUCGGUGGCUUCACUUGGCCCAAAUGUUUUCGUUCAAGUAAAAAGGCCAGGCUAAUAGCAUCAUUUAGAGUAUUGGGAUGAAAGGAUAAUACCUCACUUUUUAUAUUUGGAUGCAACCCGGAAAUAAAAUAGUGCUUCAUCAUUUUAGGAUUAAGAUGGGAGGUGCGAUUGGUAAGUUGCUCGAACUGAGAGAGAUAGUCUCAAACAGAGGACGUCAUCUAGAGCUUAGCCAAAACUCCCUCUGGUGCCUCCAUAGAUUUGGAACCAAAACGAAUUAUAAAUGCGUUGGUGAAGUGCUCCCAAAUGAUGAGUUGAUGAUUUUUAUGCAUCCAUUGGUACCAAUCUCUAGAAGUACCCUCCAGCUUCUAGCUAUCAGAGACGGUCUUUUCCGUACAUUCAGGAAGAGGCAAAAGGGUGCAAUGGAGCCUGAGGAGGUGCAGUAAACUGCUGACUCUCUACACAGUUUAUCUGGCUUCUAAAUCAUUUGGCUUCAUCGCAUUUUCUAGGUUCGACAGUAUGACACCGAAAGUAGGGUAACAAGGAUAAACAGAAAUAUUUUGAUGAGUUCUUCAAAGUUGGACUGGCCCAAAUUUUGUUUCAAUGUCAUCUCAGCUGUUCCUUGUGUGUGGAGAAGGAUACACACCAAAAUAUCGGCUACACUCACUUCACUGCUAGUUGUUACUAGUUGACAAGUUUAAUUGCUAUUUGCAAUUAAGAACUAAAUAGUUUGAUAGCCUUCGGUAUUGAGAUUCAAUAUGCUUUAUUAAAUCAGGAAGAUCACUUGGAAUAAUCUCCGAUGCAACUUUCACUUCUUCCAAGAUCCUUAAAUGAAUCUGAACCCAAAUGUUUUGUUUAGUAUGGUAAGAUAAGGGCCUUGGAAGUAGUAUGCGUUAAUCUGAAUUUAGUUCUCUUUCUCCCCAAAUAGAAAAUGUUUUUGAGCA